rnacentral:rRNA from 1 species
ACGAACGCUGGCGGCCUGCCUCACACCUGCAAGUCGCACGAGACCUUCGGGUCUAGUGGCGCACGGGUGCGUAACGCGUGGGAACCUGCCCUUAGGUUCGGAAUAACUCCCCGAAAGGGGUGCUAAUACCGGAUAAUGUCUUCGGACCAAAGAUUUAUCGCCUUUGGAUGGGCCCGCGUUGGAUUAGCUAGUUGGUAGGGUAAAAGCCUACCAAGGCGACGAUCCAUAGCUGGUCUGAGAGGAUGAUCAGCCACACUGGGACUGAGACACGGCCCAGACUCCUACGGGAGGCAGCAGUGGGGAAUAUUGGACAAUGGGCGAAAGCCUGAUCCAGCAAUGCCGCGUGAGUGAUGAAGGCCUUAGGGUUGUAAAGCUCUUUUACCCGGGAUGAUAAUGACAGUACCGGGAGAAUAAGCUCCGGCUAACUCCGUG